ACGCUGGCGGCGUGCCUAAUACAUGCAAGUCGAACGCCUUGUGGUUUUAAUGAAUAGCGUGCUUGCACAAUAUGAUUUAAAACAAUGCAAGGAGUGGCGAACGGGUGAGUAACACGUGGGAAACCUACCUCUUAGCAGGGGAUAACAUUUGGAAACAGAUGCUAAUACCGUAUAACACUAAAAACCGCAUGGUUUUUAUUUGAAAGAUGGUUCUGCUAUCACUAAGAGAUGGUCCCGCGGUGCAUUAGUUAGAUGGUGAGGUAAUGGCUCACCAUGACGAUGAUGCAUAGCCGAGUUGAGAGACUGAUCGGCCACAAUGGGACUGAGACACGGCCCAUACUCCUACGGGAGGCAGCAGUAGGGAAUCUUCCACAAUGGGCGCAAGCCUGAUGGAGCAACGCCGCGUGUGUGAUGAAGGGUUUCGGCUCGUAAAGCACUGUUGUAAGAGAAGAAUGUACUUGAGAGUAACUGUUCAAGUAGUGACGGUAUCUUACCAGAAAGGGACGGCUAAAUACGUGCCAGCAGCCGCGGUAAUACGUAUGUCCCAAGCGUUAUCCGGAUUUAUUGGGCGUAAAGCGAGCGCAGACGGUUAUUUAAGUCUGAAGUGAAAGCCCUCAGCUCAACUGAGGAAUUGCUUUGGAAACUGGAUGACUUGAGUGCAGUAGAGGAAAGUGGAACUCCAUGUGUAGCGGUGAAAUGCGUAGAUAUAUGGAAGAACACCAGUGGCGAAGGCGGCUUUCUGGACUGUAACUGACGUUGAGGCUCGAAGGUGUGGGUAGCAAAC
rnacentral:rRNA from 1 species